CAUGUUGUGUUACAGCUGACCCUAUCCUCAACUUUGACCCUUGAUCCCACCACAGAUCUGUCAUGAGAGGGUGCUGCUUAACACAAAAUGGAGCCUGGUUCAAGAGUCAGAAAGGGAGAGAGAGACAAACAGAGUGGGGGAGAGAACGGGAGAGCGAGCUCCACUGCACACAGAGGACUCAUUUAUCCUCUCUCGCUCUUGACUGCAGUUUUUUUCUUCCUCUCCUUUGCUUUCUCUUUUGUUUUUGCUGCACAGAAACUGUUGCCCUUUCUUCCUAUACAUCUCUUUCUCUCAUCCCACCCCAUCCCCCUUCCAUCCUCUCACCCUUGUCUGGUUGCUUUGGGACAACAGCAUGCCAUCAUCAGCGGCCACCACCACCACAGGUACGGAUUCAUGGCAGCAAGGACCAGCAGGAUUCUGGGAGGGAAUUUGUGAGAUGAGGCUUUAAUAAGAGCGCGGCCUCGUCAGCCAGCAAGAAAUGUAUGCAAAUGAUAUGCGCACUCCAAAAGGACCCUGGGUAGGCGAGGCGAGCGCCGGCCGAGCUCCUGCUGAGCUCUGAGGAAGAUGAGCGACUCAGAUGGUGGAGACAAAGAAUGAUGAGAGAAAGAAGAAUCAGUCAGAAAAAGUCCGCUCAUCCUCUACAUUAUUUGUCGCUUUUGCUACUUUCCACGACCAGCUGAUGCAAAAACAAACGUGAUUCAUGUGAGUUUCUACAUCUGCUGUUCCAACCACCAGAUGCUUCGUUGUUCUUUUCUGAGAAGAAUUCCCUGGCAAACAGGAAGUGAGCCAUUUUUCUACAAUAACAAAUUAUUUGGGAUAAACAAAUGAAGGUCUGUGUAUGUAGUUUGAGCCAUGAUAGCAAAGAGCACUACCUGCAAAAACUUUAUCAACAGAAAAUCCAAGGAUACCUAUAUACAUAACACCCUUUGGCACGUGAAGUUUCCAGGAAUCCUGGAACCUUUUUAGGAACUCAGGGACUAUUCCUGUAUUGUGACAGGAGCUACCAGGACUGUAAUUCCUGGCUACGAAAGGUCCCUGCUACAGGUGUUUAACUGAUUUCUAAAGCAAAAUUUCUUUUCACCCAUUCGUGAUCCUAUUUCGGUGCUGGCCAAGCAUCAGAGGGGUUCAAUUUCUUACCUAAAGACACUUCGUACUGUGGACAGUAUGAGGUAGGGAUCAGACCUCCAGCCCUGUGAUCAGUGGAUGACCUGCUCUGUCUCGUGAGGCACAGCAGCCCCUGGGUGCAGAAUGCUGUGCUGAGGGUUGCAGAUUUGUCAAACACAGAGACUGAGGCUGCUACAUGUUCUAUGUAGCAUUCAUUCACACAGCAAGCAAGCACUGGUUGCUCGUAGUAUCUGUAUUAGGGCUUACAACGGGAAUUUGUUGUAAUUUUUAAAUAAAGUUAUGUGGUUGACGUCCCAA